rfam:Schistosoma mattheei strain Denwood, Zambia genome assembly, scaffold: SMTD_scaffold0028150
ACAAUAACUCCGCCUGUAGCUCUUAUACGGUUACUGCCGGUCCCAAGCCCGGGUAAAGGAGGAGGGUUGG